rnacentral:misc_RNA from 1 species
GAUGAAGAACGCAGCGAAAUGCGAUACGUAAUGUGAAUUGCAGAAUUCAGUGAAUCAUCGAGUCUUUGAACGCACAUUGCGCCCCCUGGUAUUCCGGGGGGCAUGCCUGUCCGAGCGUCAUUGCUGCCUCAAGCACGGCUUGUGUGUUGGGCCUCCGUCCUCCUCCCGGGGGACGGGCCCGAAAGGCAGCGGCGGCACCGCGUCCGGUCCUCGAGCGUAUGGGGCUUCGUCACCCGCUCUUGUAGGCCCGGCCGGCGCUUGCCGACACAUCAAUCUUUUUUCCAGGUUGACCUCGGAUCAGGUAGGGAUACCCGCUGAACUUAAGCAUAUCAAUAAGCGGAGGA